GAUGAACGCUGGCGGCGUGCCUAAUACAUGCAAGUCGAGCGAACAGACGAGGAGCUUGCUCCUCUGACGUUAGCGGCGGACGGGUGAGUAACACGUGGAUAACCUACCUAUAAGACUGGGAUAACUUCGGGAAACCGGAGCUAAUACCGGAUAAUUUAUUGAACCGCAUGAUUCAAUAGUGAAAGACGGUUUUGCUGUUACUUAUAGGUGGAUCCGCGCCGCAUUAGUUAGUUGGGAAGGUAACGGCCUACCACGGCAAAGAUUCGUAGCCGACCUGAGAGGGUGAUCGCCCACACUGGACCUGAGACACGGUCCAGACUCCAACGGGAGGCAGCAGUAGGGAAUCUUCGGCAAUGGGCGAAAGCCGGACGGAGCAACGCGGGGUGAGUGAGGAAGGUCUUCGGAUCGUAAAACUCUGUUAUUAGGGAAGAACAAAUGUGUAAGUAAAUAUGCACGUCUUGACGGUACCUAAUCAGAAAGCCACGGCUAACUACGUG
rnacentral:rRNA from 1 species